rnacentral:rRNA from 1 species
UGGGGAAUUUUGGACGAAUUGGGCGAAAGCCUGAUCCAGCAAUGCCGCGUGUGUGAAGAAGGCCUUCGGGUUGUAAAGCACUUUUGUCCGGAAAGAAAUCCUUGGCUCUAAUACAGUCGGGGGAUGACGGUACCGGAAGAAUAAGCACCGGCUAACUACGUGCCAGCAGCCGCGGUAAUACGUAGGGUGCAAGCGUUAAUCGGAAUUACUGGGCGUAAAGCGUGCGCAGGCGGUUUGCUAAGACCGAUGUGAAAUCCCCGGGCUCAACCUGGGAACUGCAUUUGGUGACUGGCAGGCUAGAGUAUGGCAGAGGGGGGUAGAAUUCCACGUGUAGCAGUGAAAUGCGUAGAGAUGUGGAGGAAUACCGAUGGCGAAGGCAGCCCCCUGGG